rnacentral:rRNA from 1 species
GACAGAGGAUGCAAGCGUUAUCCGGAAUGAUUGGGCGUAAAGCGUCUGUAGGUGGCUUUUUAAGUCCGCCGUCAAAUCCCAGGGCUCAACCCUGGACAGGCGGUGGAAACUACCAAGCUGGAGUACGGUAGGGGCAGAGGGAAUUUCCGGUGGAGCGGUGAAAUGCGUAGAGAUCGGGAAGAACGCCAAGGGCGAAGGCACUCUGCUAGGCCUGAUUCGCGACUGACACUCAGGGACGAGAGCCAGGGGAGCGAAUGGG